UGGACCCCUACCCAUUUGAUUACAGUUUAAACUUCCCUUUUCCCUGUAUGUUUUGUAUGUUUUAAUCAGAAGGUCCUAAAUUCAUUUUUUUAGGAACUGGACAGAUGCAGAUCUCUGAGACCUACCACCUGUCUUGAUGAUGCCCUCUGUAACUGGCCUAGAGUUAGCCUCCAUUAUGAGGAUUCACCCCCACCCAGGGGUGGUAGGUAGCCUAGCGGUUAAGCGAGUUGGGCCAACAACUGAAUGGUUGCUGGUUUGAAUCCCAGACCCGGCAAGGUGAAAAAAAUCUGCUAUUCUGCCCUUGAGCAAGGUUCUAAUCUCAGAGGCCAGAGCAGUGUGAAUGGAAAAUUAGAAGGAAGUAGAAGGUGUAAUUCCAGAACACUGGAUCAAAGUGUGUGGCGGCCCCCAAAUAAAUAUGACAAAGCAGUAAAGGAUUGGUACACACCCUCUCUGAAAUGGAAGUCCUUUCAGCUUCUGAGGAUAAAACUCACAUCAGAAUCAAAACAACAUUGGGAAGACGUCGAAAUUACUGAAGCCAGUGAAGUGGAGAUGUCCAAGAGAAACCGAACUGGCAAAGGUCUACCCAAGCUCCCACCAAAAUAUUCCCCAAAGCACCAGAAAACCUGUGCCACCGCUACCAAGAAGCAAAAAGCUAAUACGCAGCACAAACCACCAAAUACAGAAUCUCAAAGCUGGGGGGAGAGACAUCCCAGACUGGGUGAAGUGAGCAAUGCACCGAACCCUGAUAACCGGCCUCAUGUCAUCGAAGAAUAUGAAAGGGAAGAGGGCCUUUGAGAACUCCAACCUUUGCAGACAUUAUAGCAGGUGAAAGUCUUUGCGAAUCAAUGCUACAGAGGCAAACAUAGUACAGGCAAUGCCAACCUGCCUGAAAUAUGCACCUAACCGCAAGGGAGGC
ensembl:lncRNA